GUGCUUGCUUUGGCGCACAUAUACUAAAAUUGGAAGGAUUCAGAGAUUAGCAUGACCCCUGUGCAAGGAUGACACAAGUUUGUGAAGUGUUCCAUAUUUUU
ensembl:snRNA U6 U6 spliceosomal RNA